rnacentral:lncRNA from 1 species
GAGGGUCGCGCCGAGGCCCGCGUAGGCCCUCGGGGGCUGGGCGGCCCCUCUGAGGCGGGCCGGCAGGGACGCGUUAGCGCAAGAGGAGGAGGCCCGGAGGGGGAGGCGGACACCACGGCGGACCCCCAGCACCCCCGGGGCGGGCAGGGGGCGGGAGAGGCGGUGCCUGCGCGCCCCCCGGCCGCCGAGGGGGCCGCGCCGGGCCGGGCGCUGGGGCGGGGUCUGCGGGCGCCGACGGGGCGGGCGGCGGCGGGGCGCCACGUCGGCAGCGGGGAAAGGCGCAGGAGUAAAGUCUGCGGCGGAGCCCCGGCGAGCCGAGCAGCGCGGUGUAUGCAGAAUACUUCUGUGGAAACAACUAACGAGAAAUCUUCACGAAGGAAUAUAUUUGCAGGGAGGGUGAAGAGGAACCUCCCUUAGGAUACACUGCAGUCUGGUGACCAGGAGACUCCUGCAACGUGGGACAUACGAGCUUGAAUCUUAUUAGACGAAGGAGGCAUUGAACUGUAGGUGAGUGCUUUCACCUUGAUGAUGUUACACAAAAGAUAGUGAGUGGUUUCUGCUUCUCUCACUUCAAUUUUUGAAGAAAAAAAAUUAUAUUCCUGCCCUCUUCCAAGAUUGGAUGAAGUCAUCUGCCACCAAGCAGCUAUUCCAGGCCUUUGACCUCCAGUCAAUAGAAAUACUCACCUUAAAUCUCUGGAGGAGAGCCAGGUUUAAGAAAGACAUGCUGCUGUGUGUAAUAUUUCCUGCUCACAAGAUACGCUACACCCUGUUUAGCACACAGGAUUUUGGAUCACUUUUCAGAGACUCUUAAGUCUCCUGACGUGUUAAAUUUGAUACAAGGAUGCAUGACGCAGGCUGUAACCUAGAUAUCUGAAAAUUUUCUGCUUAAAGUCCUUUGUUGGAUCUCGGUCUCGAUUCUGUGAUUCGCUGGAGAGCAUCUACAGAAAAGCAAAAGGACUUGAAUUGUGCUUUGUGAGCUCUUGUGUGCCAAGUUCUGUUUCAGGUCAAGCCGUGAGCCUUUUCUGAAAGUGACGUGAUUCUGUUUUCAUUUGUGCUGAUGUAGUAGGAGAACAGUGAGUACAACCUAGCACAAGCGGGGUAGGCACAUCUCCUGCGGCAUCCCUGGAGUGCUUCCAGGCACUUGUAGAACCACCCAUCAUAGAGUAGUUCUCAACUUUCUGAUCUGCAGACCGCUGAAAGCUCACUUCUGUG